rnacentral:rRNA from 1 species
GACGAACGCUGGCGGCGUGCUUAACACAUGCAAGUCGAACGGUAAGGCCCUUCGGGGUACACGAGUGGCGAACGGGUGAGUAACACGUGGGUGAUCUGCCCUGCACUUCGGGAUAAGCCUGGGAAACUGGGUCUAAUACCGGAUAGGACUCCGGACUGCAUGGUCUGGGGUGGAAAGCUUUUGCGGUGUGGGAUGGGCCCGCGGCCUAUCAGCUUGUUGGUGGGGUGAUGGCCUACCAAGGCGACGACGGGUAGCCGGCCUGAGAGGGUGACCGGCCACACUGGGACUGAGACACGGCCCAGACUCCUACGGGAGGCAGCAGUGGGGAAUAUUGCGCAAUGGGCGCAAGCCUGAUGCAGCGACGCCGCGUGAGGGAUGACGGCGUUCGGGUUGUAAACCUCUUUCAGCAUCGACGAAGCGAAAGUGACGGUAGGUGCAGAAGAAGGACCGGCCAACUACGUGCCAGCCGCCGCAGUAA